rnacentral:rRNA from 1 species
UACGUAGGGGGCAAGCGUUGUCCGGAUUUAUUGGGCGUAAAGAGCGUGUAGGCGGCCAGAUAGGUCAGCUGUGAAAACUCGAGGCUCAACCUCGAGACGCCGGUUGAAACCAUUUGGCUAGAGUCCGGAAGAGGAGAGUGGAAUUCCUGGUGUAGCGGUGAAAUGCGCAGAUAUCAGGAAGAACCCCCGUGGCUAAGGCGGCUCUCUAGUACGGUACUGACGCUGAGACGCGAAAGCGUGGGGAGCGAACAGG